rnacentral:rRNA from 1 species
AAGUCGUAACAAGGUUUCCGUAGGUGAACCUGCGGAAGGAUCAUUAUCUAUUACCGGGUGUGGCUGCGGCCUCCGGGGGCGUGGGCGUCUCGACGCCCUCUCUCCUGGGUGGUAGAGGUAAAACUCUCACGCGCCACAUGUCUGAAUCCUUUUUUUACGAGCACCUUUCGUUCUCCUUCGGUGGGGUGACCUGCCGUUGGAACCUAUCAAAACUCUUUUUGCAUCUAGCAUUACCUGUUCUGAUACAAACAAUCGUUACAACUUUCAACAAUGGAUCUCUUGGCUCUGGCAUCGAUGAAGAACGCAGCGAAAUGCGAUAAGUAGUGUGAAUUGCAGAAUUCAGUGAAUCAUCGAAUCUUUGAACGCACAUUGCGCCCCUUGGUAUUCCAUGGGGCAUGCCUGUUCGAGCGUCAUCUACACCCUCAAGCUCUGCUUGGUGUUGGGCGUCUGUCCCGCCUACGUGCGCGGACUCGCCCCAAAUUCAUUGGCAGCGGUCCUUGCCUCCUCUCGCGCAGCACAUUGCGCUUCUCGAGGUGUGCGGCCCGCGUCCACGAAGCAACAUUACCGUCUUUGACCUCGGAUCAGGUAGGGAUACCCGCUGAACUUAA